rnacentral:lncRNA from 1 species
UGUGUGCGUAUAAAUACCAUAGUACACUCUAGUGCCAUGCUGGGGAUGACAACCUAGUAUUCAAGUGGUGUUAGCAAGUGUCAACAAGCAUUUUUGGCACCGUUGCCGGGGAAACGGUUGCUGAGUUGACUACGAACUAGUUUAAUCAUUUUAUAAAUAUAUAUAUAUAUGUAACAAAAAAAAUAAAUAUUUUCCUUUUAUCCUUUGCCUCAUCUCUGCUAUUCUUUCUUCUUAUCUAAUCCUUGAUCUCUGGUCUAUUAUGAAUUCAAACAUGUCUAUCUAUGAAUUUCAUAGACCUAUGGGCACACAUCUCGAACCACCAAAAUCUUCAAAGCCUAUCAUAGCAUCUAGUUUUGAGAUAGACCCCGAAUACAUAGAAUUUAUUCAAAAACAACCUUUCUCAGGAGAAGGUGAGGAAAACCCAUACACACACUGUAACACCCAAAAAUUUGAAUUUCAAUUAAUAGGAUUUAAUUUGAUUUAUUUAAGUAUUUUUGUGAGCAUUUAAUUUAGUGAAUAAAUAAUUUUGUUAAAAUUUAAAAAUUCAUUAUAUGUUAAUAAACUUGAUUGUGCAUUCAUGCUGAGGUAUAUUUUAUUUUGUGCUAAUUUCUUUUGGAUUGGAUUUUGGUUGCUCUCAAAACUCUAUUUUUAAGAAGGCUCUAAAAAAAAAAAAAAAGAAGAGAAGAACCUCCCCAUCUCCCUGUUUCGGCCUGAAAGGCCCAGCAGCCCGCGCCCUGGCCCAUUUCUUCCUACUCGGCCCAGCAGCGCGCGCCUCCCCUCUCCUUGUCUGGAUGACGACCGGGCCCCACGCGUCAGCCUCCUCUCUCACCUUUCCUUCUUCUUCCCCCCGCCGGGACGCGCGCAGGGAAGUUUCCCUCCCCGAUGUCGAACCCGAGCCGCGGAUUUCUUGCCUUUUUUGUGAAAUCAAGUCCUAUAAAGUUCCCCCCUCCAAAGCCACAGUUCCGUUUGCAUCUAAUACGCAAGAAUCAAACCCUAGACGCCACGAACCCAAUCUUGCCGAGGCCGCAUCCAUCCUCCUCCGCGGCGAGCGCUCCAUCCUCCUUCCCAACGCUAACCGAACGCCUAGGUGAGCUCGCAAGGAGUUUCUCUACGUUUCGGUGCUUUCGGUUUGGUUUUUGGUGCUCGGAAACGAGAAGUGGG